GACGAACGCUGGCGGCGUGCUUAACACAUGCAAGUCGAACGGAAAGGCCCUGCUUUUGUGGGGUGCUCGAGUGGCGAACGGGUGAGUAACACGUGAGUAACCUGCCCUUGACUUUGGGAUAACUUCAGGAAACUGGGGCUAAUACCGGAUAGGAGCUCCUGCUGCAUGGUGGGGGUUGGAAAGUUUCGGCGGUUGGGGAUGGACUCGCGGCUUAUCAGCUUGUUGGUGGGGUAGUGGCUUACCAAGGCUUUGACGGGUAGCCGGCCUGAGAGGGUGACCGGCCACAUUGGGACUGAGAUACGGCGCAGACUCCUACGGGAGGCAGCAGUGGGGAAUAUUGCACAAUGGGCGGAAGCCUGAUGCAGCAGCGCCGCGUGCGGGAUGACGGCCUUCGGGUUGUAAACCGCUUUCGCCUGUGACGAAGCGUGAGUGACGGUAAUGGGUAAAGAAGCACCGGCUAACUACGUG
rnacentral:rRNA from 1 species